rnacentral:rRNA from 1 species
AGAACGAACGCUGGCGGCAGGCUUACACAUGCAAGUCGAGCGCCCCGCAAGGGGAGCGGCAGACGGGUGAGUAACGCGUGGGAAUCUACCCUUUUCUACGGAAUAACGCAGGGAAACUUGUGCUAAUACCGUAUGAGCCCUUCGGGGGAAAGAUUUAUCGGGAAAGGAUGAGCCCGCGUUGGAUUAGCUAGUUGGUGGGGUAAAGGCCUACCAAGGCGACGAUCCAUAGCUGGUCUGAGAGGAUGAUCAGCCACAUUGGGACUGAGACACGGCCCAAACUCCUACGGGAGGCAGCAGUGGGGAAUAUUGGACAAUGGGCGCAAGCCUGAUCCAGCCAUGCCGCGUGAGUGAUGAAGGCCCUAGGGUUGUAAAGCUCUUUCACCGGUGAAGAUAAUGACGGUAACCGGAGAAGAAGCCCCGGCUAACUUCGUGCCAGCAGCCGCGGUAAUACGAAGGGGGCUAGCGUUGUUCGGAAUUACUGGGCGUAAAGCGCACGUAGGCGGACAUUUAAGUCAGGGGUGAAAUCCCAGAGCUCAACUCUGGAACUGCCUUUGAUACUGGGUGUCUAGAGUAUGGAAGAGGUGAGUGGAAUUCCGAGU